CCCCUAGAUGUUCUGGGCCGCACGCGCGCUACACUGAACAGUUCAACAAGUCUUAACCUUGGCCGAUAGGUCUGGGUAAUUUUUGAACGCUGUUCGUGAUUGGGAUAGACCUUUGCAAUUAUGGGUCUUCAACGAGGAAUUCCUAGUAAACGCAAGUCAUCAGCUUGCAUUGAUUACGUCCCUGCCCUUUGUACACACCGCCCGUCGCACCUACCGAUUGAAUGGUCCGGUGAAAUCUCGGGACGGCGGCUUGGUCGCUUGCGUCCGACUGCUGAAACUUGAUUAAACCAUAUCAUUUAGAGGAAGGUGAAGUCGUANCA
rnacentral:rRNA from 1 species